rnacentral:rRNA from 1 species
CCUACGGGUGGCAGCAGUGAGGAAUAUUGGUCAAUGGACGAGAGUCUGAACCAGCCAAGUAGCGUGAAGGAUGACUGCCCUAUGGGUUGUAAACUUCUUUUAUAAAGGAAUAAAACGAGGCACGUGUGCCUUUUUGCAUGUACUUUAUGAAUAAGGAUCGGCUAACUCCGUGCCAGCAGCCGCGGUAAUACGGAGGAUCCGAGCGUUAUCCGGAUUUAUUGGGUUUAAAGGGAGCGUAGAUGGGUUGUUAAGUCAGUUGUGAAAGUUUGCGGCUCAACCGUAAAAUUGCAAUUGAUACUGGCAGUCUUGAGUGGGCGAGAAGUAUGCGGAAUGCGUGGUGUAGCGGUGAAAUGCAUAGAUAUCACGCAGAACUCCGAUUGCGAAGGCAGCAUACCGGCGCCCAACUGACGCUGAAGCACGAAAGCGUGGGUAUCGAACAGGAUUAGAUACCCUUGUAGUC